rnacentral:rRNA from 1 species
UACGGAGGGUGCGAGCGUUACUCGGAAUUACUGGGCGUAAAGGGCGCGUAGGCGGCAGGGCAAGUCUGGUGUGAAAGCCCGGGGCUCAACCCCGGAAGUGCAUUGGAAACUGCUCUGCUUGAGUACCGGAGAGGAAGGGGGAAUUCCCGGUGUAGCGGUGAAAUGCGUAGAUAUCGGGAGGAACGCCGGUGGCGAAGGCGGCUUCCUGGCCCGUUACUGACGCUGAGGCACGAAAGCCAGGGGAGCGAACCGG